rnacentral:tRNA from 1 species
GCCUCAUUAGCGCAAUUGGAUAACGCGCAGGUCUUCUAAACCUGAGAUUGCGGGUUCGAGUCCCGCAUGAGGUA